GAAUUUACUUAGCCUAAUUAAAUUAACCCCUCUUAUAACAUAAAUCUAUAUAAAAUAAAAACUAGUCUUCUUCUUAAAAUAGAGGAAAUCAGAUUCCUCCUUCUCUCCUCAGACGUGGUCUUUCUCUCUCUGUUCACUCGCCCGCGUCUGUCACUCUCCCUCUCUCUCACGCUUGGCGACGUCGCCGGUCAUCGCCGCCUCCGGCGCGGCGAGGCCGGCGCCUCCCUCUCCCCUUCUUCUUCCUUUCCUUCCUUUUCCCUUAAUUCUCAAAUCAAAAACCAACCUAGGUUUUUUUUUAAUCUCCCCCAUCAUUUUUACUCCUCUGGAGAAUCCCGGCGAAUAACGUCGCCGCCGCCCCAGCUCGUCGGAUUUCCGCUCCUCCGUCGUUCUUCCUGCCUCAGGAAUUGGUCGGCAUCGUCGACUCCGGUGUGGCAGCUUCGUCUACUGCCCAAGAUUCUACCUUUUCUUCCUUCGUUUUUAUUUAUCUGGUUUCUUGUUCAAUUACUGAAAAUUGGGAUUGUUGAUGAUAAAGCAUACUGCUUAUGCUUAACUUGUAUAACUAUAUCAUUUUUCUAUU